GGGGUGUGACUGCGUACCUUUUGUAUAAUGGGUCAGCGACUUAUAUUCUGUAGCAAGGUUAACCGAAUAGGGGAGCCGGAGGGAAACCGAGUCUUAACCGGGCGUUAAGUUGCAGGGUAUAGACCCGAAACCCGGUGAUCUAGCCAUGGGCAGGUUGAAGGUUGGGUAACACUAACUGGAGGACCGAACCGACUAAUGUUGAAAAAUUAGCGGAUGACCUGUGGCUGGGGGUGAAAGGCCAAUCAAACCGGGAGAUAGCUGGUUCUCCCCGAAAGCUAUUUAGGUAGCGCCUCGUGAAUUCAUCUCCGGGGGUAGAGCACUGUUUCGGCUAGGGGGCCAUCCCGGCUUACCAACCCGAUGCAAACUGCGAAUACCGGAGAAUGUUAUCACGGGAGACACACGGCGGGUGCUAACGUCCGUCGUGAAGAGGGAAACAACCCAGACCGCCAGCUAAGGUCCCAAAGUCAUGGUUAAGUGGGAAACGAUGUGGGAAGGCCCAGACAGCCAGGAUGUUGGCUUAGAAGCAGCCAUCAUUUAAAGAAAGCGUAAUAGCUCACUGGUCGAGUCGGCCUGCGCGGAAGAUGUAACGGGGCUAAACCAUGCACCGAAGCUGCGGCAGCGA
rnacentral:rRNA from 1 species